GUCCUUCCCGGAGCCGGGAAUGCAGGAGUCAGUGUCCUCUCCCGGUGCUGGGGAUGCCAGGGCCAGUGUCCUCCCCCGGUGUCCUCCCCCGGUGUCCUACCCAGACGAACGAGGUUUGGGACCUGCCCCCGCAUCCUUCCUCGGCUGCUCCUCGGGGCUCACAAAGGGUUUUCCGGAGUUUCGGCGGAGGAAGGUGGCCUGUCCCCACGCAGGGUUCUGCAAACCCGCAGCUGACGAACCCCGACGUCAGUAGAUGUCUCUAUUAAUAGUGAAGAGGAACUCUGAAAUGCCCAUGACAAAGGCUGGGACUGCAGGUUCCUGUUCCCAAGCCAGUAACGCGUAUUUCGGUGUAAAACACCCCUGAUGUCACCUUCCCUCUCCGGGAGAUUCCGGGCAGGCAGCGAGAACUAUAAGAGUGGGACUCAGGCACGGGCAGGGCAGAAGGCAUGGAGCUAGCCUGGAGCACCGCACACACCGAGACCGCACUGGCAGCCAAAAUGGGCAGCUCUUUCUCUACAAGUGCAGACGUGGACAGGGAACAUGGCCCCGCCGUCUGCUUCCAUGGGUAGAGCCCACAGUCCAGCUGGGAGAUGAAGGAUUGAGACCUCGCUGACGCUUCUUCUUUCUCCCUGCUGCCCCACUGCCCUCCAUGCCCUGCAGGAGCUGCAGCAUGGAGGGGCCCAGCUGUAGCUCUGCGGGCAAAGGAACCGCCAGGGAGACAGUGGGAGCUCAGCAAGAGUCGGCAGCAACAUUUUCUGCUUUCCAGCUGGGGUGGGACACUUCUGCUGGCAAAGAGGAGCUCUGCCAUCCCUCUUGUCACAGGAGUGUUUCAUGGUUGGGAGGUACCAAAUAACUCCCGUAAAAUGCUGUCCCAGGUAUGCUCUGCUUCACGCUGCCAAUGGGACAAGAAUUUUGGUAUUUCUGCAACAACCUUACUGUCUGUCUUGUCCAAAACAACAAAAUAAACAAAGCCAUGUGUACCUUG